rnacentral:SRP_RNA from 1 species
GGUUGGGUUUUGCGCAAUCGAAAGUUUCGAACCGUGUCAGGUCCUAACGGAAGCAGCACUAAGAUCCUGUAGAUGUGCCGCAAAACUCAGCCUCU